rnacentral:pre_miRNA from 1 species
UAGUUUUGUCCUAAGUCAAACUUCUUCAAGUUGACCAAGCUUAUAGGAAAAUCUACUAAGAUCUACAAUAUCAAAUGAGUAUGCUAUGAAAAAAGUUAACGAUAGAUUUAGUAAAACUAACUUGGAGUUCUAGAUGUUGGUAGAUCUUUCUAUAAAAUUGGUCAAACUUGAAGAAGUUUGACUUAGGACAAAACUAG